rnacentral:rRNA from 1 species
UUAUGUGAUCGUCUCUCGCAUAUCAAUAAGCGGAGGAAAAGAAACUAACAAGGAUUCCCCUAGUAACGGCGAGUGAAGCGGGAAGAGCUCAAAUUUGAAAUCUUAAAGGGUUUCCCUUUACGAAUUGUAGUUUAAAGAAGUGUUUUCUGUUGAGGUUUUGGUAAAAGUUCUUUGGAAUAGGACAUCAUAGAGGGUGAGAAUCCCGUAUUUGACCUUUACUUUCAACUUUGUGAUACACUUUCAAAGAGUCGGAUUGUUUGGGAAUGCAGUCCAAAAUGGGUGGUAAAUUUCAUCUAAAGCUAAAUAUUGGCGAGAGACCGAUAGCGAACAAGUACCGUGAGGGAAAGAUGAAAAGAACUUUGAAAAGAGAGUUAAACAGUACGUGAAAUUGUCAAAAGGGAAGCGUUUGACACCAGUGUUGUUUUUCUGAAAAUCAAUUAAAGAACUGUUUAUGCUAAGCUGUUUAGACUUUAUCAGCUAUCUGUUUAGUUUUGAGCUUUUCUUUAAAGCACUUUUCAGUUAACAAGUCAACAUCAAUUUCUUUUGCUGUAAAAAAGCUUGAGGAAGGUGGCUUGAGAUUCGUCUUAAGUGUUUAUAGCCUCUUGCCUAUGCAGUCGGAGAGAUUGAGGUCUGCAGCGUAGAUCCUUCGGGGCUAAAUGCAUCUGUGCUAAGUUAUAGCAUUUUAUAGACAACUUGUUGACUAUGAUUUGUCUUGUAGCUUACUCGCUUAUGUUAUUUUACCUACGCUUAGGAUGUUGAACGCGCACAGAGUCUC